AGGUGUGAUCAUUUCAGCACUUAUGCAUCGAAUCCCAUCGGAACUCCGAAGGUAAGCUUGCUUGGGUGAGAAUGGUACUAAGACGAGCUUCGUCGCAGGACUUCCACAAACACAAGUA
rnacentral:rRNA from 1 species